GUGUGGGUUGGUUGUUGAUGGAGAGUUUGAUCCUGGCUCAGGACGAACGCUGGCGGCGUGCUUAACACAUGCAAGUCGAACGGAAAGGCCUGCUUUCCCUUGUGGAUUGCGGGUACUCGAGUGGCGAACGGGUGAGUAACACGUGAGUGAUCUGCCCCCAACUUGGGUAUAAGCCUGGGAAACUGGGUCUAAUUCCCGAUAGGACUGCAGGGUGGUGCCUGUGGUGGAAAACGAUUUUCUAGUGGUUGGGGAUGAGCUCGCGGCCUAUCAGCUUGUUGGUGGGGUAAUGGCCUACCAAGGCGGCGACGGGUAGCCGGCCUGAGAGGGUGGACGGCCACAUUGGGACUGAGAUACGGCCCAGACUCCUACGGGAGGCAGCAGUGGGGAAUAUUGCACAAUGGGCGGAAGCCUGAUGCAGCGACGCCGCGUGGGGGAUGACGGCCUUCGGGUUGUAAACUCCUUUCGACCGCGAGGAAGCCGCCUGGUUGGAAGGGUGGUGACGGUAGUGGUAGAAGAAGCACCGGCUAACUACGUGCCAGCAGCCGCGGUAAUACGUAGGGUGCGAGCGUUGUCCGGAUUUACUGGGCGUAAAGAGCUCGUAGGUGGCUUGUCGCGUCGUCUGUGAAAGUCUGGGGCUUAACUCCGGGUGUGCAGGCGAUACGGGCUGGCUUGAGUGCUGUAGGGGAGACUGGAAUUCCUGGUGUAGCGGUGGAAUGCGCAGAUAUCAGGAGGAACACCGAUGGCGAAGGCAGGUCUCUGGGCAGUCACUGACGCUGAGGAGCGAGAGCAUGGGUAGCGAACAGGAUUAGAUACCCUGGUAGUCCAUGCUGUAAACGGUGGGCGCUAGGUGUGGGGACUUUCCAUGGUUUCCGUGUCGUAGCUAACGCGUUAAGCGCCCCGCCUGGGGAGUACGGCCGCAAGGCUAAAACUCAAAGGAAUUGACGGGGGCCCGCACAAGCGGCGGAGCAUGUGGAUUAAUUCGAUGCAACGCGAAGAACCUUACCUGGGUUUGACAUGCACUAGAUGAGGCGAGAGAUCGUCUGUCCCUUUGUGGCUGGUGUGCAGGUGGUGCAUGGUUGUCGUCAGCUCGUGUCGUGAGAUGUUGGGUUAAGUCCCGCAACGAGCGUAACCCUUGUCUUAUGUUGCCAGCACGUUGUGGUGGGGACUCGUGAGAGACUGCCGGGGUGAACUCGGAGGAAGGUGGGGAUGACGUCAAAUCAUCAUGCCCCUUAUGUCCAGGGCUUCACACAUGCUACAAUGGCCGGUACAGUAGGUUGCGAGACCGUGAGGUGGAGCUAAUCCUUUAAAGCUGGUCGUAGUUCGGAUUGGGGUCUGCAACUCGACCCCAUGAAGUCGGAGUCGCUAGUAAUCGCAGAUCAGCAACGCUGCGGUGAAUACGUUCCCGGGCCUUGUACACACCGCCCGUCACGUCAUGAAAGUUGGUAACACCCGAAGCCGCCGUCUCCACCCUUGUGGUGGUGUGGUGUCGAAGGUGGGAUCGGCGAUUGGGACGAAGUCGUAACAAGGUAGCCGUACCGGAAGGUGCGGCUGGAUCACCUCCUUUCUAAGGAG
rnacentral:rRNA from 1 species